CGUGGGUAACCUGCCUUAUAGUGGGGGAUAGCCUUUCGAAAGGAAGAUUAAUACCGCAUAAGAUUGUAGUAUCGCAUGAUAUAGCAAUUAAAGGAGCAAUUCGCUAUAAGAUGGACCCGCGUCGCAUUAGCUAGUUGGUGAGGUAAUGGCUCACCAGGCGACGAUGCGUAGCCGACCUGAGAGGGUGAUCGGCCACAUUGGGACUGAGACACGGCCCAGACUCCUACGGGAGGCAGCAUG
rnacentral:rRNA from 1 species